CCUUUGGAAAGUGUAGGCAACACCAAACAACCAAGAUAAAGCAUGAAAUGUGGAACUAUGCCAAUCCUAUCAACUUCUUCUUCCUUUUAACCUUGGAUAAGUAAACCUAGUGGAAGACAAGAGGUCAUUAAACUUCAGUCAUCUCAUCUGUCAAUUUCCUUUGGAAAGUGUAGGCAACACCAAACAACCAAGAUAAAGCAUGAAAUGUGGAACUAAGCCAAUCCUAGCAACGUCUUCUUCCUUUUAACCUUGGAUAAGUAAACCUAGUGGAAGACAAGAGGUACAUAUGUGAUAGAAAUCCACUACUAGUACAGACAAAACCAGCCAGCCAAACAUCAAGAAGCUAUAGCCUCUCAAUCUACUUACCUUUCCACAUGAAGCACCCAUCUUGUAUUAUUUCUUUCAGGUCAUUAAACUUCAGUCAUCUCAUCUGUCAAUUUCCUUUGGAAAGUGUAGGCAACACCAAACAACCAAGAUAAAGCAUGAAAUGUGGAACUAAGCCAAUCCUAGCAACGUCUUCUUCCUUUUAACCUUGGAUAAGUAAACCUAGUGGAAAACAAGAGGUACAUAUGUGAUAGAAAUCCACUACUAGUACAGACAAAACAAGCCAGCCAAACAUCAAGGAGCUAUAGCCUCUCAAUCUACUUACCUUUCCACAUGAAGCACCCAUCUUUUAUUAUUUCUUUCAGGUCAUUAAACUUCAGUCAUCUGUCAAUUUCCUUUGGAAAGUGUAGGCAACACCAAACAACCAAGAUAAAGCAUGAAAUGUGGAACUAAGCCAAUCCUAGCAACGUCUUCUUCCUUUUAACCUUGGAUAAGUAAACCUAGUGGAAGACAAGAGGUACAUAUGUGAUAGAAAUCCACUACUAGUACAGACAAAACCAGCCAGCCAAACAUCAAGAAGCUAUAGCCUCUCAAUCUACUUACCUUUCCACAUGAAGCACCCAUCUUGUAUUAUUUCUUUCAGGUCAUUAAACUUCAGUCAUCUGUCAAUUUCCUUUGGAAAGUGUAGGCAACACCAAACAACCAAGAUAAAGCAUGAAAUGUGGAACUAUGCCAAUCCUAUCAACUUCUUCUUCCUUUUAACCUUGGAUAAGUAAACCUAGUGGAAGACAAGAGGUCAUUAAACUUCAGUCAUCUCAUCUGUCAAUUUCCUUUGGAAAGUGUAGGCAACACCAAACAACCAAGAUAAAGCAUGAAAUGUGGAACUAAGCCAAUCCUAGCAACGUCUUCUUCCUUUUAACCUUGGAUAAGUAAACC